AUUGAACGCUGGCGGCAUGCCUUACACAUGCAAGUCGAACGCGAAAGCGGGGCAACCCGCAAGUAGAGUGGCGAACGGGUGAGUAAUACAUCGGAACGUACCCAGUAGCGGGGGAGUAACCUCUCGAAAGAGAAGCUAAUACCGCAUACGACCUAUGGGUGGAAAGACGGGGGAGUCGCAAGACCUCGCACUAUUGGAGCGGCCGAUGUCGGAUUAGCUAGUUGGCGGGGUAACGGCCCACCAAGGCGACGAUCCGUAGCUGGUCUGAGAGGACGACCAGCCACACUGGAACUGAGACACGGUCCAGACUCCUACGGGAGGCAGCAGUGGGGAAGUUUUGGACAAUGGGCGCAAGCCUGAUCCAGCCAUGCCGCGUGAGUGAAGAAGGCCUCGGUUGUAAG
rnacentral:rRNA from 1 species